rnacentral:lncRNA from 1 species
ACUAAUCUAACCCCUACACAAUGCUUAUUCACCCAUUACCAAUAAGACUCAAACAAGCCCAAAUUAUCUCAAAUAAUUUAAACCCAAUUAAAGUUACGAAUUUAGGCUAUUCAAAAAGCUCAUAUUUGAACUUUCCAAAAUUGGCCAGCCCAUCAUCCACAUGUUUUUGAGUAAAAACUUGGAGCAACUCUUUAAGCUUCUUUGCCUUUGAUCUUGUUACUAGUUCACUGAAACUUUCAAGGUUUGAAACUGUAUUUAUGUUUACAUCAUUUGAAAUUUGCUCCAAGUCACUUUCUGAUGCUCUUUGAGUAUCUUGAGUGUUUUUAGCCUUAUUUGCACCAUUCCCCCUCUCCUCGAAAGGAUUCGUUCUCGAAUCAAUUCCUGCAUCAAUUUCAAAAGGGGAUAAAUUAGAUAUGUUAAAUGUAGCUGAAACACUAUACUCACCUGGUAGGUCCACUUUGUAGGCAUUUUCAUUGAUUUUGGCUAUGAUUUGAAAUGGACC